rnacentral:rRNA from 1 species
GUGAGGAAUAUUGGUCAAUGGGCGGAAGCCUGAACCAGCCAUCCCGCGUGGAGGAAGACGGCCCUAUGGGUUGUAAACUUCUUUUCAAGGGGAAGAAAGUUCGCGACGUGUCGCGAUUUGCCGGUACCUUUGGAAUAAGCAUCGGCUAACUCCGUGCCAGCAGCCGCGGUAAUACGGAGGAUGCGAGCGUUAUCCGGAUUUAUUGGGUUUAAAGGGUGCGUAGGCCGAUCGAUAAGUCAGCGGUGAAAUACCAUGGCCCAACCAUGGAACUGCCGUUGAUACUGUCGGUCUUGAAUAUGGUCAAGGUAGGCGGAAUGUGUAAUGUAGCGGUGAAAUGCUUAGAUAUUACACAGAACACCGAUUGCGAAGGCAGCUUACUGGUCCAUUAUUGACGCUGAGGCACGAAAGCGUGGGGAUCGAACAGGAUUAGAAACCCCGGUAGUCC